rnacentral:rRNA from 1 species
AUGGCUGUCCAGGCGCGGUUCCUCUCCCACGCCUUCCCCCACGACCUCAAGGCCUAUAGGUCCAUGGAUGCCUCGGCGCCGGGUAACUCCCAGUUCCUGGACGAGCAAGCCGCGGUGGCGUGUAUUGGGAACAACACGGUGCUCAGCGAUCUCCCGCGAAGCGAGCUCACAUGCAACGACAACUACGGAUUCGCGCCGAGGAAGCGGGCGCGCAUGGCCGGGGACGAGCCGGCGGGACUCGCCGACCUUGCCCGGCAGCGCUUGCUUCUGCAGCAGGCGGCGGCGAUGCACGGACUCAUGCUGCCUUGCGAUGCGCAGAGCAGGGCGGUCGGCUCCGGCGCGGCCUCCACCAGCGGGAGGGUGGCCAAUGCCGCGGGCCUCAACACGCUGCUCUACAACCAGGGCGUGGAGAUGGACGCGCUCAUCCGGCUCGAGACCGAGAGAAUUCGCGCGGGGCUUGAGGAGGCGCGCCGGCGACACGCGAGGGCCGCGUUGGCUACUGUGGAGCGCGCUGCGGCGGGGCGGCUUCAGGCCGUAGAGGCUGAACUGGAGCGCGCGCGCUACCGCAACGGCGAACUGGAGGAGUGGCUCCGGCAGAUGACCGCAGAGGGCCAGGCGUGGCUCGGCGUCGCCAAGAGCCACGAGGCCGUCGCGGCCGGCCUCCGCACGACGCUGGACCAGCUGCUGCAGCCCCCCUGCGCUGUCGCCGGGACUGCUGAGGGCGAUGCCGACGACGCGCAGUCCUGCUGCUUCGAGACCCCAGCGGGGGACAACGCCGACGACGCGGCGUCCAAGGCGGUCGCGGCGGCUCCGUCGUGCAAGGCCUGCGGUCAGGCGGACGCCUGCGUUCUGCUGCUCCCGUGCCGGCACCUGUCCCUGUGCGGUGCGUGCGAGCCCUCCGUGGACACCUGCCCCGUGUGCGCGGCCACCAAGAACGCCUCGCUCCAUGUCCUCCUUUCCUGA